rnacentral:rRNA from 2 species
AGUGAGUGGCGGACGGGUGAGUAACACGUGGGUAACCUGCCCUAAAGUGGGGGAUAACAUUUGGAAACAGAUGCUAAUACCGCAUAAAACCUAGCACCGCAUGGUGCAAGGUUGAAAGAUGGUUUCGGCUAUCACUUUAGGAUGGACCCGCGGUGCAUUAGUUAGUUGGUGAGGUAAAGGCCCACCAAGACUGUGAUGCAUAGCCGACCUGAGAGGGUAAUCGGCCACACUGGGACUGAGACACGGCCCAGACUCCUACGGGAGGCAGCAGUAGGGAAUCUUCCACAAUGGACGAAAGUCUGAUGGAGCAACGCCGCGUGAGUGAAGAAGGUUUUCGGAUCGUAAAACUCUGUUGUUGGAGAAGAAUGUAUCUGAUAGUAACUGAUCAGGUAGUGACGGUAUCCAACCAGAAAGCCACGGCUAACUACGUGCCAGCAGCCGCGGUAAUACGUAGGUGGCAAGCGUUGUCCGGAUUUAUUGGGCGUAAAGCGAGCGCAGGCGGUUUUUUAAGUCUGAUGUGAAAGCCUUCGGCUCAACCGAAGAAGUGCAUCGGAAACUGGGAAACUUGAGUGCAGAAGAGGACAGUGGAACUCCAUGUGUAGCGGUGAAAUGCGUAGAUAUAUGGAAGAACACCAGUGGCGAAGGCGGCUGUCUGGUCUGUAACUGACGCUGAGGCUCGAAAGCAUGGGUAGCACACAGGAUUAGAUACCCUGGUAGUCCAUGCCGUAAACGAUGAGUGCUAGGUG